GACGAACGCUGGCGGCGUGCUUAACACAUGCAAGUCGAACGAAGUGGCGCACGUGUGAGUAACGCGGAAUCAACCUGCCCUUCAGUGGGGGACAACAGUUGGAAACGACUGCUACUACCGCAUACUUAAGGAGGGGCUUUCGUUUGAUUCGGUAGUUGGAGGGGUACCGGCCCACCAAGGCGAUGAUCAGGAGCCGGUCUGAGAGGAUGAACGGCAACAUUGGGACUGAGACACGGCCCAGACUCCUACGGGAGGCAGCAGUGGGGAAUCUUCCGAAAUGGACGAAAGUCUGACGGAGCAACGCCGCGUGAGUGAUGACGGCCUUCGGGUUGUAAAGCUCUGUUAAUCGGGACGCGGUACCGGAAUAGAAAGCCACGGCUAACUACGUGCCAGCAGCCGCGGUAAUAC
rnacentral:rRNA from 1 species